UUUUGCAAUUUUGCAUUUUGCACAGAGUUGCGCAGGUUUUCUACGAUAUACAAAAGCUGCGCAAUACAGUUAACGACAUCGAUAGUUGUCGGUAAGCGUGUACAGAAUUGAGGCCCUGUACUCCAUCGUCUUCUUCUGCGCAGAAGUAUAGUGGAAGAAUGCGCGUUUCCGGUAGUGUCAAGCGCGGAAGAUACGCGGCGCUGCCGGAUAAGAUGUUGCGGAGACGCGGUGUCGCAUUGUCGCGACAGAUAGUUUUUUGUUUAACCGUCCACAUUACGCAUUGUGUUAUUUCGAGCCCAGCUGUGAGUACUGUCGGAGAGAGAAAUACUUUUCACUAAGGAUUUUCAGGAAAGUUUGGCUAUCAUCAGCAACGGAAAGUUCUAAAGGAUAACUUACAAAAAGAUACAAGAACGCUUUUGAGUACUCCAUGAAAUAAAAUUAUAUAAAGUAGAACCAGAUGUUAAGAGAAUAUUUGCCAACGGAGGUAUAAGUCAUGAUGAUAGUAAGAUACCAUUACAGUUAAGAUGUUUUACAGCUGAUGCGCCAGCUCGUGCUUUUUGAAUCAUCGAGGCCAUACAUCCAAACAGCCAUGCUCCAAAUAUAAAGUUAAUGGCCAACGAUGUGAGAUGAAGGUCAUCAUAAAGAAGGAAAAAGUCUGUUGUCAAUGUUACCGAUAAGAUUGGUUACACAGGUUCCAUUUGAAUAUAUGCACCUGGUGUGCCUUGGAGUAAUGAAGAAAUUGUUGCAUGGGUCCUAUUGUUACAUACGGUAUUCUUAAUCAGCAAGUGUACACACACUUUUUAUUGCUCCAUGCAGCAAUAAGGAUUUUAGUUUCAACGUCAUCGUCAAAAAUAUACCUGAAUUUCGCAGAAGUAGCGUUGCAAAAGUUUGUUGAGAGAUGUGAAAAUAUGUACGGUUCAACAUUCAAUUCCUACAAUAUUCACGGUCUCCUUCAUAUUGCAAAUGAUGUGCGGCAACUAGGUCCUCUUGAUUCAUUUUUUGCCUUCCCAUAUGAAAAUAAUAUGACAAUUUUCCGAAAGUGUUGUAGAAAACCUGAUCUUCCUCUGCAGCAAAUUUCAAAUAGAAUGGCAGAGAUAGAAGCAAAUACAGCAACUGAUUAUUUGAGCACGGAUUCAACAAUCCGCGUGUUCAGGGAGCAUAACGUAAAUGGACCGUCUAAAACGACCCAUAAUAAAACCAUCGACAUAUCAGACUACUUCUUCUGACGAGUCACCCCGGAAGAGGUCAAUGGAUACUGCAGGGAAACAAAAGGACAUUGGCAAAACCUUGGAAGAGGAUAUAAGGGAGUUGAGAGGAAUUCUUCAGGAGAAUUCCUCAUAUAAUAUUCAUAAUACUAAUAAUGAUAGUAAUAAUCAGACGUACACUCCUCAUGUAUGCGGAAUACAAACACACAUACCCAUUCAAACGCAAUAUCUACCCCAACAAAACUCUACACAAUAUGUAACAUUGCAAACAUCUACACAUAUAGAAUCACAAUAUACACCCAUUCACACAGAACAUGCAUCUACAACGUACCGAUAUGACAUGUCUGAAAACAGCAGUAAUACAGGGUGAAGAAAAAACCACGGGACCCCUGAAAAUUUCGA
rnacentral:misc_RNA from 1 species